CAAAGAUACGGUUAAACAAGGCCUAGCACAGGCCAACAAUUUUUUGCCAUGUGGCAGUUGUUUUGAAUUUACCUAGGUUUUUUUUUCUUUUUCUGUAUGUGGAGGGAGAAGAGGAAAGGUAUUGAAGGGAAGUAACUGUAUUCUAUGAUUUUAUUUCAGAUGCAGCUGUUCUCUUAGUUACAUUGGCAGAUUGUGUGUUGUCAAUGUUGACUAUUGCUUAGGGAACCACAGUAUAUCAGUGCAUGGCCUCUGCCUGGCCCUUUCGCACAAUUGUAACUGUAGCGGUCUGCAAAGAUAUGAAAGGAACAUCUGUGAGAUAGAUACUGAAGACUGCAAAUCUGCGUCCUGCAAAAAUGGAACAACUAGUACACAUUUAAGGGGAUAUUUCUUCCGCAAGUGUGUCCCAGGAUUUAAAGGUACGCAAUGUGAAAUUGAUAUAGAUGAGUGUGCUUCACAUCCCUGCAAAAAUGGAGCCACCUGCAUUGACCAACCUGGUAAUUACUUCUGCCAGUGUGUGCCUCCAUUUAAAGAUUCCACACAUAAGUGGGAUCAUGCGGUAUUUGUCUCUUUGUGCCUGGCUUAACAUGAUGUCCUCCAGGUUCAUCCAAGAGGAGGUAUUGUGGUUGAUGGCUUUUCCUGCUUAUGCAAUCCAGGCUAUGUUGGGAUAAGAUGUGAACAGGACAUUGAUGACUGCAUCCUGAAUGCCUGUGAGCACAAUUCUACCUGCAAAGACCUGCAUCUCCAUCAUGAUGCUGAAUUUAGAUGAAAAGCAGAAAAUA
rnacentral:lncRNA from 1 species